rnacentral:rRNA from 1 species
UGGGGAAUAUUGCGCAAUGGGCGGAAGCCUGACGCAGCGACGCCGCGUGAGGGAUGACGGCCUUCGGGUUGUAAACCUCUUUCAGCAGGGACCAAGGGUGACUGAGUGUACCUGCAGAAGAAGCACCGGCUAACUACGUGCCAGCAGCCGCGGUAAUACGUAGGGUGCGAGCGUUGUCCGGAUUUAUUGGGCGUAAAGGGCUCGUAGGCGGCCUGUCGCGUAGGGAGUGAAAGCCCACUGCUUAACGGUGGGUCUGCUUCCGGUACGGGCGGGCUAGAGUAUGGCAGGGGAGACUGGAAUUCCUGGUGUAGCGGUGGAAUGCGCAGAUAUCAGGAGGAACACCGGUGGCGAAGGCGGGUCUCUGGGCCAUUACUGACGCUGAGGAGCGAAAGCGUGGGGAGCGAACAGGAUUAGAUACCCCAG